UCCCUGAUGGUCAUGUGGUUAAGGCCCCAUGCUUCCAACGCAGGGGGCGCAGGUUCAAUCCCUGGUCAGGGAA
rfam:TPA: Bos taurus chromosome 19, whole genome shotgun sequence.